rnacentral:lncRNA from 1 species
AGUAAUCUCCAUAAAGAACUACCAUCCGAAGAUAAGAAUCAUCACUCAAAUGCUGCAGUAUCACAACAAGGCCCAUCUGCUAAACAUCCCGAGCUGGAAUUGGAAAGAAGGUGAUGACGCAAUCUGCCUCGCAGAGUUGAAGUUGGGCUUCAUAGCCCAGAGCUGCCUGGCUCAAGGCCUCUCCACCAUGCUUGCCAACCUCUUCUCCAUGAGGUCAUUCAUAAAGGUAUCUUCUUUAAUCCAGGCUGCUCUCAUCCUGCAUGGGUGGAACUGAAUGGAGGUGGCAGGGAGGUCUGUGUAGCUGUGUUUAGAGACGAGACCCUGAAGCCAGAUGUAGCCACGUGUCUCCCAGGGAUCUUAUGUUCAACAUGAAAAGCCCAGACUCAGGAUAAAGGACUGUCACCACGAGAACUUCUCUGGCUCUUUCAAUCAAGCUCUGGUGGUUUUCUUCCAGGGCAUGGCCCAUGGGACCAAGCACAUGGUGUGUGGAGCUGUGCUCUGCUUCCUCGUGUUGAUGUAACAUGGGCUUUGGCAGGGCCCCACCACAGAUGGGGCCCCUUGACAUGCGUAUGUUUUGAUUUUGUGGUGCCUGCAUGGUAACUAGAGCUGUCUGUCAAGGAAAUUAAUAAAAUGGAUG